GAUGAACGCUGGCGGCGUGCCUAAUACAUGCAAGUCGAGCGAACGGACGAGAAGCUUGCUUCUCUGAUGUUAGCGGCGGACGGGUGAGUAACACGUGGAUAACCUACCUAUAAGACUGGGAUAACUUCGGGAAACCGGGGCUAAUACCGGAUAAUAUUUUGAACCGCAUGGUUCAAAAGUGAAAGACGGUCUUGCUGUCACUUAUAGAUGGAUCCGCGCUGCAUUAGCUAGUUGGUAAGGUAACGGCUUACCAAGGCAACGAUGCAUAGCCGACCUGAGAGGGUGAUCGGCCACACUGGAACUGAGACACGGUCCAGACUCCUACGGGAGGCAGCAGUAGGGAAUCUUCCGCAAUGGGCGAAAGCCUGACGGAGCAACGCCGCGUGAGUGAUGAAGGUCUUCGGAUCGUAAAACUCUGUUAUUAGGGAAGAACAUAUGUGUAAGUAACUGUGCACAUCUUGACGGUACCUAAUCAGAAAGCCACGGCUAACUACG
rnacentral:rRNA from 1 species